CCUGGCUCAGGAUGAACGCUAGCGGCAGGCCUAACACAUGCAAGUCGAGGGAGAAGCCCUUCGGGGCAGAAACCGGCGCACGGGUGCGUAACGCGUAUGCAACCUACCUUUCACAGGGGGAUAGCCCGAAGAAAUUUGGAUUAAUACCCCAUAAUAUUAUUGGAUGGCAUCAUUUGAUAAUUAAAAUUACGAUGGUGAAAGAUGGGCAUGCGUCCUAUUAGCUAGUUGGAGUGGUAACGGCACCCCAAGGCUACGAUAGGUAGGGGUCCUGAGAGGGAGAUCCCCCACACUGGGACUGAGACACGGCCCAGACUCCUACGG
rnacentral:rRNA from 1 species